rnacentral:rRNA from 1 species
CGGAGCGACACCGCGUGUAGGGAUGAAGGUCUUUCGGGAAUGUUAAACCACUGGUCGGAGGGGAAGCAAAAAGACCGGUACCUCCAAGAAAGCCCCGGCUAACUACGUGC